rnacentral:rRNA from 1 species
GACGAGCGCUGGCGGCGUGCUUAACACAUGCAAGUCGAACGGAAAGGCCCUGCUUUUGUGGGGUGCUCGAGUGGCGAACGGGUGAGUAACACGUGAGUAACCUGCCCUUGACUUUGGGAUAACUUCAGGAAACUGGGGCUAAUACCGGAUAGGAGCUCCUGCUGCAUGGUGGGGGUUGGAAAGUUUCGGCGGUUGGGGAUGGACUCGCGGAUUAUCAGCUUGUUGGUGGGGUAGUGGCUUACCAAGGCUUUGACGGGUAGCCGGCCUGAGAGGGUGACCGGCCACAUUGGGACUGAGAUACGGCCCAGACUCCUACGGGAGGCAGCAGUGGGGAAUAUUGCACAAUGGGUGGAAGCCUGAUGCAGAAACGCCGCGUGCGGGAUGACGGCCUUCGGGUUGUAAACCGCUUUCGCCUGUGACGAAGCGUGAGUGACGGUAAUGGGUAAAGAAGCACCGGCUAACUACGUG